rnacentral:rRNA from 1 species
GACGAACGCUGGCGGCGUGCUUAACACAUGCAAGUCGAACGAAGUGGCGAACGGGUGAGUAACGCGUAAUCAACCUGCCCUUCAGAGGGGGACAACAGUUGGAAACGACUGCUAAUACCGCAUACUGAAGGAGGGGAUUGCGUGUGAUUAGCUAGUUGGUGGGGUAACGGCCCACCAAGGCGAUGAUCAGUAGCCGGUCUGGGAGGCUGAACGGCCACAUUGGGACUGAGACACGGCCCAGACUCCUACGGGGUGCAGCAGUGGGGAAACUUCCGCAAUGGACGGAAGUCUGACGGAGCAACGCCGCGUGAGUGAUGACGGCCUUCGGGUGGUAAAGCUCUGUUAAUCGGGACGCGGUACCGGAAUAUAAAGCCACGGCUAACUACGUGCCAGCAGCCGCGGUAAUAC